rnacentral:rRNA from 1 species
CGCAAGCCUGACGGAGCAAGACCGCGUGGGGGAGGAAUGCCUUAGGGUUGUAAACCCCUUUUAUCUGGGAAGAACAAAAUGACGGUACCAGAUGAAUAAGCCUCGGCUAACUCCGUGCCAGCAGCCGCGGUAAUACGGAGGAGGCAAGCGUUAUCCGGAUUUAUUGGGCGUAAAGCGUCCGCAGGUGGCAAUGUAAGUCUGCUGUCAAAACCCAGGGCUCAACUCUGGUCAGGCAGUGGAAACUACAUAGCUAGAGUGCGGUAGGGGCAAAGGGAAUUCCCGGUGUAGCGGUGAAAUGCGUAGAGAUCGGGAAGAACAUCGGUGGCGAAAGCGCUCUGCUGGGCCGCAACUGACACUCAGGGACGAAAGCUAGGGGAGCG